UCUUGCCAUAUUGCUCCUUGCCUUUUCUCCAUGUUUUUGAGAGAAAUCAGAACAAUUUGCUUAAAGGUUUAAAUGCGUAUGGAGGGUGUCGCAGCUCAAGAAAACUUGGCAAAAUUACUUAAUUGACAUUGUGUGUUCUCAUUUCACAUUUCUCCUCCAGCACCACUUGUCCUCCCCGCUCCAACACAGCUGAUUCGAAUGAUCAGCUGACCAUUUAGUUCAGCUGUGUUGCAGCAGGGAGAGAUCAAAAACAAACAGGACAAGUUCGACUCAAGAAGCGUUUUGGGAAAUCCACCUCGUUUGUGGCCUUAUUUUCUUGUGAAUUGUGGAAAACCCUGAUGCAGACUGAGAGAGGCAUAAUGGAUGAGUUAACAGUCUGCUUGUGUCAUGCAUUGUCAAACCGAGAGCUGUGAACUGACUCGCUGCCAGUAAGAAGUCGGCCGAGGAUAAGGCGUCACCUGAGGGCAAAAGACAGAUCCUCGUGGACCGGGCCCAGCAAACAGUCUGCAGACAAAUAAAACAGGCGGAUUGAGACUUGUGUUACAUAAUAUUUUAUUUCCAAAAUGUCCCUUCCAUAUUUUGGUUCGA